GCCUAAAUAGUUUCAAAUGGUAAAAUGGAUUACUUGUAAUAAUUUGUCGGCGGUUCGAUCCCACCUUUAGGCA
rnacentral:tRNA from 1 species